CAUGUACUUCCUCCGUCCAACAAAGGAUGUCUCAACUUUGAAUAAAUUUGAAUGCAUCAAUACACUGAGUCAUGUCUAGAUACAUCCAAAUUUUGACAAAUUUGAGACAUCUUUUGUUGGACGGAGUGAGUAUGAU
rfam:Brachypodium distachyon strain Bd21 chromosome 4, whole genome shotgun sequence.